rnacentral:rRNA from 1 species
UGGGGAAUAUUGCACAAUGGGCGCAAGCCUGAUGCAGCAACGCCGCGUGAAUGAAGAAGGUCUUCGGAUCGUAAAGUUCUUUUCUUAGGGAAGAAACCAUGACGGUACCUAAGGAAUAAGCACCGGCUAACUACGUGCCAGCAGCCGCGGUAAUACGUAGGGUGCAAGCGUUAUCCGGAAUCACUGGGCGUAAAGGGUGCGUAGGCGGUCUGACAAGUCAGGAGUGAAAGGCAGUGGCUCAACCAUUGUAAGCUUUUGAAACUGUCGGACUUGAAUGCAGGAGGGGCAAGUGGAAUUCCUAGUGUAGCGGUGAAAUGCGUAGAUAUUAGGAGGAACACCAGUGGCGAAGGCGACUUGCUGGACUGUAAUUGACGCUGAGGCACGAAAGCGUGGGGAGCAAACAGG